AUUUAGUGCUGAGGGCACUUGAUGCACAAUUUCUUGAACCUCUCCCAGUAAUCAUAGAGCAACUCUCCUGAAUGCUGCUUGAUACCACAUAUCUCCUUCCUUAGACU